UACGUAGGGUGCGAGCGUUGUCCGGAAUUAUUGGGCGUAAAGAGCUCGUAGGCGGUCUGUCGCGUCGGAUGUGAAAGCCCGGGGCUUAACUCCGGGUCUGCAUUCGAUACGGGCAGACUAGAGUGUGGUAGGGGAGAUCGGAAUUCCUGGUGUAGCGGUGAAAUGCGCAGAUAUCAGGAGGAACACCGGUGGCGAAGGCGGAUCUCUGGGCCACUACUGACGCUGAGGAGCGAAAGCGUGGGGAGCGAACAGG
rnacentral:rRNA from 1 species